rnacentral:rRNA from 1 species
AAUCAACGCUGGCGGCGUGCCUCAGACAUGCAAGUCGAACGCGAAAUUUCCCUUCGGGGAGAAAGUAGAGUGGCGCACGGGUGAGUAACACGUGGGUAAUUUGCCUUUGGGUGGGGAAUAACUCAGGGAAACUUGAGCUAAUACCGCAUAAUGCAGCGGCUCGACAUCGAGACAGUUGUUAAAGCGGGGGAGUUGGAGCAAUCCGACCUCGCGCCUAAAGAGAAGCCUGCGGCAGAUUAGCUAGUUGGUAAGGUAAUGGCUUACCAAGGCGACGAUCUGUAACCGGCCUGAGAGGGCGGUCGGUCACACUGACACUGACAUACGGGUC